GGCUUCGUAGCUCAGCUGGUAGAGCGCUCGCCGCGUUGCGACAUGCUGUGCCUGUCGCUGGUUCGAAUCUAGCCGAAGCCC
rnacentral:tRNA from 1 species